UUGAAGUCCUUCGUGUGAGUGGUCCAGAUAAGUAUCAGUUACAUUUACACGAGUCUUGUGUACUGUCACUCAAGUUUGCUCACAGUGGUAAAUGGUUUAUAACUACAGGAAAGGAUAAUCUACUAAAUGCAUGGAGAACACCUUAUGGUGCUAGUAUAUUCCAGAUGUCUGAAAGCAGUAGUGUCUUAAGCUGUGACAUAUCAGUUGACGAUCGUUUUAUUGUUACUGGAUCUGGAGACAAGAAGGCUACAGUGUAUGAAGUUAUACUAUGAGGUGAUAUUUGACUUGUAAUGAAUAAUGCAAUCUACACUUGAGUUUAGUCUCUUUGUUACAAGUACUGACUACAAAACUCUCAUGUAAUAUAAAAUCUCUAAUAAUUCCAGUUAAGAUAUUGUUUGUCAUGUUUGCUAUAAUGCAUUAACAUUAAUAAUAAUAAUAAUAAUAAAACUUGAAUUGUUUUGAUUGUAAUAUCUUGUAUUACUAUUAUACCUGAGGGUUAGUUUGUGAGUACAUUUCUUGUAAGUACUAGCUCAAGUACCUUUUAUCAUAAUCACCAAGAGAGUACCAACUACCAAUUAUUAUUAAUUGGACUCACCACUAACUCACUAAGAAGAAUAUAUUCCAAUGCAUUCAAUAGCAGGACCAUCACCUCAUCAGCAAGCAAAGAAGACAUGUUUUAACCUGAUGUAUUCCUUGACAUACAACCAACUAAUAAUUACUGUACUUAUUGUUAUAAUGUUGGCAGUGAUUGGAUUUAAUUUAGAAGGUGAUAUGGGUGUGGGUGAUUAUGAGUAAUGAAUAUUGUUAUUAUGGGUGUGGCUUGUUAAUUAACAUUCUUGACAAACAAUGUCUAAAGGUAUCUAUCAACUGGGAAGGAUAUCAAAUCACUCAGCUCCUGUAGUAGGAGAAUCAGUGUUCCUGUGGGGAGGGGAAAGGCCUGACUUACCUAGAGUUCAUGAUUCCCCACAAAAGAGGAAAUUAUUGUCCACCAUUGAUAGACUGGAGUUUAAAACUGGUCAUUGG
rnacentral:lncRNA from 1 species